AUUGAACGCUGGCGGCAGGCCUAACACAUGCAAGUCGAGCGGAGCGGCGGACGGGUGAGUAAUGCCUGGGAAUCUGCCUGGCAGUGGGGGAUACCGUCCGGAAACGGGCGCUAAUACCGCCUACUCUCAGAUGAGCCUAGGGCGGAUUAGCUAGUUGGUGUGGUAAAUGCCUACCAAGGCGACGAUCCGUAACUGGUCUGAGAGGAUGAUCAUUCACACUGGAACGGAGCCACGGUGCAGACUCCUACGGGAGGCAGCAGUGGGGAAUAUUGGACAAGGGGCGAAAGCCUGAGUCAGCCAUGCCGCGGGUGUGAAGAAGGUCUUCGGAUGGUAAAGCACUUGAAGUUGGGAGGCGUUACCAACAGAAGAAGCACCGGCUAACUUCGUGCCAGCAGCCGCGGUAAUAC
rnacentral:rRNA from 1 species